rnacentral:misc_RNA from 1 species
ACCUCCCACCCGUGACUAUCGUACCUUGCGUUGCUUCGGCGCGGCCGCCGUGCCCGCCGGAGACCCCCUACCGAACACUGUUCUAUGAAAGGGAAUUGCAGUCUGAGUCGACCAAAACGAAAAAUUGGUUAAAACUUUCAACAACGGAUCUCUUGGUUCCGGCAUCGAUGAAGAACGCAGCGAAAUGCGAUACGUAAUGUGAAUUGCAGAAUUCAGUGAAUCAUCGAAUCUUUGAACGCACAUUGCGCCCCCUGGUAUUCCGGGGGGCAUGCCUGUCCGAGCGUCAUUACUGCCCUCAAGCACGGCUUGUGUGUUGGACCGUCGUCCCCCCCCCCAUAUCUCCCUCUCUCUCGGGAGGGGAGGGGGGGGACGGGCCCGAAAGGCAGUGGCGGCACCGGUAUCCGGUCCUCGAGCGCAUGGGGCUUUGUCACCCGCUCUGUAGGCCGGGCCGGGGCCCGCCGGCUCCCAACUUUUAUCAUUUUUUUGAAGGUUGACCUCGGAUCAGGUAGGGAUACCCGCUGAACUUAAGCAUAUCAAUAAGCGGAGGAAAAGAAACCAACCGGGAUUGCCUCAGUAACGGCGAGUGAAGCGGCAACAGCUCAAAUUUGAAAGCUGGCUCCUUCGGGGUCCGCAUUGUAAUUUGGAGAGGAUGCUUCGGGUGCGGCCCCCGUCUAAGUGCUCUGGAACGGGCCGUCGGAGAGGGUGAGAAUCCCGUCUGG